rnacentral:tRNA from 1 species
AAGGAUUUAAGUUAAACUUUUAAACUCGUAGCCUUCAAAGCUCCAAAUAAAGACCAAUCUUUAAGCCUUA